AAUCAACGCUGGCGGCGUGCCUCAGACAUGCAAGUCGAACGAUUAAAGCUCUCUUCGGAGAGUGUAUAGAGUGGCGCACGGGUGAGUAACACGUAAGUAAUCUACCUUCGAGUGGGGAAUAACGUUCGGAAACGAACGCUAAUACCGCAUAAUGAAGCGGCAUCGCAAGAGGACAGUUGUUAAAGGAAUUUAUUUCGCUUGAAGAGGAGCUUGCGGCAGAUUAGCUAGUUGGUAAGGUAACGGCUUACCAAGGCUACGAUCUGUAUCCGGUCUAAGAGGACGGUCGGACACACUGACACUGAAUAACGGGUCAGACUCCUACGGGAGGCAGCAGUCGGGAAUUUUGGGCAAUGGGCGAAAGCCUGACCCAGCAACGCCGCGUGAAGGAUGAAGUAUUUCGGUACGUAAACUUCGAAAGAAUGGGAAGAAUAAAUGACGGUACCAUUUAUAAGCUCCGGUUAACUACGUGCCAGCCGCCGCAGUAAUAC
rnacentral:rRNA from 1 species